rnacentral:rRNA from 1 species
CAAACCGCAACCUAAGCAGGCAGUAGGAGGAGGAGGAGUAAAAUCCCCACAAAAAUAUGAGCGCUAGCUAGAAUACUCCUACGCUAGCAGCCGAGGAGGGAGAGAAGUGGGAGUAGUAUACUCCUAGCCUGGUAUUCUUCUCCCGUCCACCCUCUCUCUUUCUCUCUUGUUCCUUGGAGUUGUUGUCCUGGGACGGAGCUUAGAAAAAGGCCCCGCCUUUUGGCUCAUUCCUCACCUGCUCUGCUCUGCUCCAGCUUCAGGGACGCGAGCUGCUCAGCGUGUGAGAGGGAGAGGGGGAGAGAGGGAUGGCGCGCGUGGAGAAGGUCGCCGGCGGCGAAGGGCAGGUGGAGGUGGUGGUCGGGGUGGACGGCAAGGGGGCGAUAGAGUGCCGGAUAUGCCAGGAGGAGGGGGAGGAGGCCGCCAUGGACUCCCCCUGCGCCUGCACUGGCACGCUCAAGUUCGCGCACAGGAAGUGCAUACAGAGGUGGUGCGACAAGAAGGGGAACAUCACAUGUGAAAUCUGCAACCAGGUUUACUCUCCGAACUAUGUUCUCCCUCCAACCAAGUGCUGUUCAGAUGAAAUGGGCAUGGAUCUUAGGCAAAGCUGGGUUGGACGGAUUGAUCCCCAUGAUUCCCAUUUCCUGGCGAUCGCCAUCGCGGAGCAGCAGCUGCUGAACGCUGAAUUCGAUGACUGCAUGACCUCAAAUUCGAGUGGCGCCACAUGCUGCCGGUCUAUUGCUCUAAUUUUGAUGUUCCUUCUGCUCGUGCGCCAUGUAACCGUGAUCGUGCGAGAUGCUAGCAUGCUACAAGAUGCGACGGUUCUGUUCAGCGCAAUUCUUCAGUUCGUGGGAUUCUUUCUUCCGUGUUAUGUCAUAGCGCGCUUCUGCUAUGCUUUUCAACACCGGAGGCGAAGACAGGUUUAGGGGCAUGCCUGAACCCGGAACCGGACUUUGUCGCGCAAACCGGACCCCUACUUGAGAAGAGAAAGGCGGCGAAGCUUGCGAAGAAGCGAAGCUUCUUCUUCUCCCCCUUGGCCCCGGCGAAUCAUGGUUUCAUGAAAAAUGUAGGCGAAAAGUAGAUGGAUUGUGGUGGACGGAGUAGCUGCAACGGCACCCGUCAAGCUCAACUGUACAUAUGAGAGUCAGUUUACAGCUACAGAUGCAAGUUGAAGUCGAUGACAUUUUCGCUCCUUAAAAUAGUGGGUCGGUCGCCAUUGGGGUGGAUGGGCGGGUCGAUGCGGGUUGAAAUUCGCGGCCCCCCGCAUUCAUGUCUCGGAGGACGCAGCCGUGCUGGUGGCGAUGGCUCGGGGUUCGCCCCUCCCCGAAUCGAUCGCCUCCGUGUUUGGUCGGCUGCCGCGGUUCGCCUCGCGGAAUUGCUGGAGACGUCCCGGGGCGGGUCAAAACCAGCCGCCUCUCUCCUCUCCUCUCCUCCCACCCUCUUAGAUCGAAUCUACACCUACCUUGGAUCUGGCAGGCAGGUGAUGGGUCGAAUCUAAAUAGGCUUAUCAUACGUGCUCUAACUCGGAAAAUGC